GUGAGCAUUAAACUGAACAAUGAAACAGGUGCGUAUUUCCAAAGUCACAAGGGGGUCCGGCAAGGCGAUCCCCAUUCUCCUUUCCUUUUUAACCUGGCUGUAGAGACACUCUCGAAAAUGGUUCUUAAUGCACAAAAAGAGAAAAUGCUGACGGGCUUAUCACCUGACUUGAUUGAGGGGGGUGUGGCUAUCCUGCAAUAUGCAGAUGACACUGUAAUAUGUUUUGAACAUGAUAAGGAAGCGGCUGUGAAUCUGAAGCUUCUAUUGUACCUGUUUGAACUUAUGUCAGGACUGAAGAUCAAUUUUAUGAAAAGCGAAAUCCUCUAUGUCGGUGGAGAUGAUAGUACCCUUUCCUUUUAUGCUGAUCUGUUUAAUUGUAGUAUUGGACAUUUUCCAAUGAAAUACUUGGGAGUCCCAGUCAGUUUCUCUUCUUUGCGUAGCAUAGACUGGGAUUUUAUGGAUGAGAGGUUCCUUAAAUGCUGUGAAUCCUGGAUUGGUAAUGCAGCAUCUUCGGGUGGGAGGCUCAUCCUUCUCAAUUCCUCAUUAACUAGCAUUGUCUUUUAC
rnacentral:rRNA from 1 species